UGGGGAAUAUUGGACAAUGGGGGCAACCCUGAUCCAGCCAUGCCGCGUGAGUGAUGAAGGCCUUAGGGUUGUAAAGCUCUUUCAACGGUGAAGAUAAUGACGGUAACCGUAGAAGAAGCCCCGGCUAACUUCGUGCCAGCAGCCGCGGUAAUACGAAGGGGGCUAGCGUUGUUCGGAAUCACUGGGCGUAAAGCGCACGUAGGCGGACUGAUCAGUUGGGGGUGAAAUCCCGGGGCUCAACCUCGGAACUGCCUUCAAUACUGUCAGUCUUGAGUCCGAGAGAGGUGAGUGGAAUUCCUAGUGUAGAGGUGAAAUUCGUAGAUAUUAGGAAGAACACCAGUGGCGAAGGCGGCUCACUGGCUCGGUACUGACGCUGAGGUGCGAAAGCGUGGGGAGCAAACAGGAUUAGAUACCCCCGUAGUCC
rnacentral:rRNA from 1 species